GAUACUUUCCCCCUGCUUAGUUGCCUAUGUGCCGUGAGCGUCUGGAGUUGCUUCUUGUGAAUGGGUUGGUUGGUGGGUUGGGUAUUUUUCGAUCUCCCCUUUAUGAUACUAGUUGGAAAGAAAGUCACUUCUGCUGUAUUAGAUUGACUGGCCUGGAUCAUGUGACGUUCUUUCUUUCUUUCUUUCUUUCUUUCUUUCUUUCUUUCUUUCUUUCUUUCUUUCUUUCUUUCUUUCAUGACAGGCUAGAACUACUGAUGGAUGGGCUAACAGUCCAAAUUCCAAAACAGCCAUCCCAGUUCCUAGAGGAAAGGUCUCUUUCUCUCUUUCUCAUUUUAUUGAAUUGUUACAGUAGUGUUGCUUGUCAAAGUGAAAGUGGCUCUCAUAUGGAAACCCUGACACCUUCCGUGCACACGAAAUGGCCUAACUUCCCAAAAGACUUACCUGGAGUCCGUGAUGAGCCGGAUGAGGGAGAACAAACUGAG